rnacentral:rRNA from 1 species
GACGAACGCUGGCGGCGUGCCUAAUACAUGCAAGUUGAGCGCUGAAGGUUGGUACUUGUACCGACUGGCUGAGCAGCGAACGGGUGAGUAACGCGUGGGGAAUCUGCCUUUGAGCGGGGGACAACAUUUGGAAACGAAUGCUAAUACCGCAUAAAAACUUUAAACACAAGUUUUAAGUUUGAAAGAUGCAAUUGCAUCACUCAAAGAUGAUCCCGCGUUGUAUUAGCUAGUUGGUGAGGUAAAGGCUCACCAAGGCGAUGAUACAUAGCCGACCUGAGAGGGUGAUCGGCCACAUUGGGACUGAGACACGGCCCAAACUCCUACGGGAGGCAGCAGUAGGGAAUCUUCGGCAAUGGACGAAAGUCUGACCGGGCAACGCCGCGUGAGUGAAGAAGGUUUUCGGAUCGUAAAACUCUGUUGGUAGAGAAGAACGUUGGUGAGAGUGGAAAGCUCAUCAAGUGACGGUAACUACCCAGAAAGGGACGGCUAACUACGUG